GAUGAACGCUGGCAGAAUGCUUAACACAUGCAAGUCUACUUGAACUUCGGUUUGGGUGGCGGACGGGUGAGUAACGCGUAAAGAACUUGCCUCACAGAUAGGGACAACAUUUGGAAACGAAUGCUAAUACCUGAUAUUAUGAUUUUAGGGCAUCCUAGAAUUAUGAAAGCUAUAUGCACUGUGAGAGAGCUUUGCGUCCCAUUAGCUAGUUGGAGAGGUAACGGCUCACCAAGGCGAUGAUGGGUAGCCGGCCUGAGAGGGUGAUCGGCCACAAGGGGACUGAGACACGGCCCUUACUCCUACGGGAGGCAGCAGUGGGGAAUAUUGGACAAUGGACCAAGAGUCUGAUCCAGCAAUUCUGUAUGCACGAUGAAGUUUUUCGGAAUGUAAAGUGCUUUCAGUUGGGAAGAAAAAAAUGACGGUACCAACAGAAGAAGUGACGGCUAAAUACGUG
rnacentral:rRNA from 1 species